UACGAAGGGGGCUAGCGUUGCUCGGAAUUACUGGGCGUAAAGGGCGCGUAGGCGGAUCGUUAAGUCAGAGGUGAAAUCCCAGGGCUCAACCCUGGAACUGCCUUUGAUACUGGCGAUCUUGAGUAUGAGAGAGGUAUGUGGAACUCCGAGUGUAGAGGUGAAAUUCGUAGAUAUUCGGAAGAACACCAGUGGCGAAGGCGACAUACUGGCUCAUUACUGACGCUGAGGCGCGAAAGCGUGGGGAGCAAACAGGAUUAGAUACCCUGGUAGUCCACGCCGUAAACGAUGAUUGCUAGUUGUCGGGCUGCAUGCAGUUCGGUGACGCAGCUAACGCAUUAAGCAAUCCGCCUGGGGAGUACGGUCGCAAGAUUAAA
rnacentral:rRNA from 1 species